rnacentral:rRNA from 1 species
UGGGGAAUAUUGCACAAUGGGCGAAAGCCUGAUGCAGCAACGCCGCGUGCGGGAAGAAGGCCUUAGGGUUGUAAACCGCUUUCAGCAGGGAAGAAAAUGACGGUACCUGCAGAAGAAGGUGCGGCCAACUACGUGCCAGCAGCCGCGGUGACACGUAGGCACCAAGCGUUGUCCGGAUUUAUUGGGCGUAACGAGCUCGUAGGCGGUUCGGUAAGUCGGGUGUGAAAACCCUGGGCUCAACCCCGAGAC